CACAUCGACGUUGCACCUCUCACGAUACCAAAGAGUUGUCAGCGUCGAUCUCUUUAUCUCCUCUCUUUGAUUGAAUGUUAGACGGAUUGGCACCAAAGGUUCGAGACCAUGGAGGUGCCGACACUUGUGUGGUUCAUGAGAGAUUGAGAUCAUUCUUCUCUCUUGAAUUGAGAUCUCCAAUUUGGAAUCCAUCAACAUCUCCAAAAAGCAUUCCUUUGGGUUGAAACAUGUGUUUUGUGAUUCAAAUCAAGGUCUUCAGUUUGGUUCAUAGUAACAGCAGAUAUGCAUGCAGCAUAUAUAAUUUUAGGUAGAAGGAAUACUCCAUUAAAAGGGUUGGCAGUCAAUCAUGAAGGAACAGAACACAUGAACAGGUCCAAAGUGGUGAAGUUUGGUACAAGAAUAAUUUCCUUUGAUGGGAAGGCCAGAUAGGACAAGCAUGGAGAUUGAACUGAAGACAUGAUAGACCUCAAAAGAGGAUUGGAACCCGAGACUGUGCUGUGUCUUUGUGAAUUCUGAUAUCAUGUGAACUUAAAGAUCAGAACCAAGAGUUUCAUUCCAAGGGGAGUGCAAAGACAGCAACGAAGAGGGGAUAGAGAGAGAGAGAGAGAGAGAGAGAGAGAGAGGAAUACCAGCAGCUAGUUCAUGUGAAGACAACAUAGAACAACAUGCUACACCAGUGCCAUCAGAACCAGAUCAAACAUGGUGCUCAAGGCAUGCAAUUGAUCUUACCAGGAAGAUCCCAUGGUUCGCACUUGUUGAGAUCAACAUCCACCAUCACAGCACUGCCAUGGAAGCUACCGCGGCCGCCGUCUCCGGCGAGCUUCACCGCGAGGUAAUCGCAGACGAGCUCGUCGUCCCUCGGGUGGAACCUGAAGCCCGGAGGCAGCUCUGCCUCCACCAUGCUCAACAUGCUCAUGGUGGUGUUGAUGAGAGGCAAACCACCGAGUAGAAUGAUGGAGUAUAUUAAAACUAAGUGGAGUAGGUGUUGUGUAUUAAUGAGGCCACUAAGUCAACUUUUGUAGGGGAGUUAGCAUGGGAUCGGUUUGGAGUUUCAUCCAUAGGGAAGGGAAUGAACAAUGUCACAUACUUUUCUUCUUCCAUCUUCCCCACUUGAUGGUGACAUGGGGAUUGAUUAUUCCUUAAUCUAAUGUAGUUUAUUUGUUGAUUCAUUGCAUAGAAACUCUUUUUAUAUGGAUAUUAA